rnacentral:rRNA from 1 species
AUGCAAGUCGAACGUGAAGCCACCUUCGGGUGGUGGAAAGUGGCAGACGGGUGAGUAACGCGUGGGAACGUGCCCUUCGGUUCGGGAUAACCCAGGGAAACUUGGGCUAAUACCGGAUACGCCCUUCGGGGGAAAAAUUUAUUGCCGAAGGAUCGGCCCGCGUCGGAUUAGCUUGUUGGUGGGGUAAAAGCCUACCAAGGCGACGAUCCGUAGCUGGUCUGAGAGGAUGAUCAGCCACACUGGAACUGAGACACGGCCCAGACUCCUACGGGAGGCAGCAGUGGGGAAUAUUGGACAAUGGGCGCAAGCCUGAUCCAGCCAUGCCGCGUGGGUGAAGAAGGCCUUAGGGUUGUAAAUCCCUUUCAGCGGGGAAGAUAAUGACGGUACCCGCAGAAGAAGCCCCGGCUAACUCCGUGCCAGCAGCCGCGGUAAUACGGAGGGGGCUAGCGUUGUUCGGAAUUACUGGGCGUAAAGCGCGCGUAGGCGGACCUGCAAGUCGGGGGUGAAAGCCCGAGGCUCAACCUCGGAACUGCCUUCGAUACUGCGGGUCUUGAGUCCGGGAGAGGUGAGUGGAAUUCCUAGUGUAGAGGUGAAAUUCGUAGAUAUUAGGAAGAACACCAG